ACACACUAUUAUUAAAUUAAUUAAUUUUUAUAUAUCAUUAUAAUAAAAUAAAUUAUAAAAUUUUAUAUUUUAAUUUUAAUUUUUUAAUUUAAAUUAAAUCAAGAUAUAGAAUAAUUAAUAUUUAAUGAAUUAUAAUUAAUUUAAUUAAGUAAGAUUAAUUUUAAUUUAAUUUUAUUAAAAUUUUAAAGUAAUUUAAUUUAAUUAAAUUAAAUGAAUUAAUUUAUUAUUAUGUACAAAUUGCCCGUCAAUUUUAAAUUAAAAAAUAAGUCGUAACAAAGUAAAUAUAUUGGAAAAUGUAUUUAAAA
rnacentral:rRNA from 1 species